rnacentral:lncRNA from 1 species
AGUGAGUGAGCCGGCAAGGCUGAUAUAGACAACUAUACAUCUAAACCUGAAGGCCGAGAAGGCCGCAUACACCUCAACUAGAUAUAUUGUGCACAUACCUCUAAUAGAAACAUAACUAUACAAAGACAGGACUAAGCCACGUCAUACAUAUAUAAAUAGUACCAAAAUCAAAAGCAGCUCCGGAUCAAGUAGAGGACGUGCCAACUCUUGCUCAUCAAGGAUCCUAAUAAGAAGGGGAACCGUCUGCUUGCCUACUUGCACUUGCAGGCAUGAAACGCAGGCCCCGUAAAAUAGGGCAUCAAUACGAAAAAAUGCACUGAGUAUGUAAGGCAUGAAAAUUAGUACGUAAAAUACAUAGAUGAAAUAUGGAAUAAGGAAGCACAUCUUAAAUCUGAAUAACUUUGUAAAUUCUGGAACAUUUAUAAUGUCAUGCAUGUGCAUAUAAAUGUCGUGUCAUGCAUAGAUAUGGUGUACAUAAUAUCAUCAAGCUAUUGAGGGCAUCCCAUCAUAUCAUUACGGCUAUUGUGGGCGACAUCAUCAACAUAUACCAGCUGAUCAGGUGGUGGUGCGAAUAUAACGCCGUAACAUUUUCCCAUAUCCCAUAUACAUAUAUUUACAUAUAUACACGUAUAUAAUGCCAUCUUGUCAUGGGUCAAUGUACA